AAUUCAUUAACCUUACAUUAUUAUCAAUAACCUUUUCUUUCACUAACGUGCUGAAAUUUAAAAUUUAGGAUAAAUAUGCUGCAAUUUCUAGAAAAAUCACAUCCUAAGAAAAAAAGCUACGUUCGUCCAGAGAGCGGAGAGAACCGGAAAUAAAUAAGAAGUGGAGCAGGACGCAGGGGUCAGAGGAUCAUAUACCUGCACGUUCCUGGGGGACACUGACAUCGUCCACUACCUGUUCGAUCGAGAGCAUGCGUGUGGAAAAACCUGUUUCCCGGGGGAUCGGAUUCGAAUGGGCCAGUCGAAGGGGAACCGUCAGGUUCGCAGGUCAGAAUGGACCCAAGGGUGAAACGGUGCGGGUCACGCAGGAUUCUACAUGGAAGGGAGUAGAGUGUCGGUGUGUCCAGUUGCUUGAAACCGUUUUCGAGGAAAGAAGAAGAUGGACAACGGGCACGGCACGAGGUGACCGUUGGCUAAAACGAUCAAUCGGAUCAACAGGGUGUUCUCGGUGACAGGGGGUUGAUCAACGACCACUGGUUCUAAAAACAAUUUCUCGCUGACUAAUUUGACGAUCUUGAAGGGGAUGGAUAUUGUUAAUGAAUCGGGGUGCUUAAUCUUGUUUAUCCUUUAAUGUCUAGAAUUACUGUGUCGAAAUGACAAAGAAAUCCUCAGUCGGGUCGUAAUA